rnacentral:rRNA from 1 species
CGUAAUAGCUCACUGGUCGAGUCGGCCUGCGCGGAAGAUGUAACGGGGCUAAACCAUGCACCGAAGCUGCGGCAGCGACACUGUGUGUUGUUGGGUAGGGGAGCGUUCUGUAAGCCUGUGAAGGUGUGUCGUGAGGCAUGCUGGAGGUAUCAGAAGUGCGAAUGCUGACAUAAGUAACGAUAAAGCGGGUGAAAAGCCCGCUCGCCGGAAGACCAAGGGUUCCUGUCCAACGUUAAUCGGGGCAGGGUGAGUCGACCCCUAAGGCGAGGCCGAAAGGCGUAGUCGAUGGGAAACGGGUUAAUAUUCCCGUACUUGGUGUUACUGCGAAGGGGGGACGGAGAAGGCUAUGUUGGCCGGGCGACGGUUGUCCCGGUUUAAGCGUGUAGGUGUGUGUUCCAGGUAAAUCCGGUUCACUUUAACACUGAGGCGUGACGACGAGGCACUACGGUGCUGAAGCAACAAAUGCCCUGCUUCCAGGAAAAGCCUCUAAGCAUCAGGUAACAUCAAAUCGUACCCCAAACCGACACAGGUGGUCAGGUAGAGAAUACCAAGGCGCUUGAGAGAACUCGGGUGAAGGAACUAGGCAAAAUGGUGCCGUAACUUCGGGAGAAGGCACGCUGACACGUAGGUGAAGUGAUUUACUCAUGGAGCUGAAGUCAGUCGAAGAUACCAGCUGGCUGCAACUGUUUAUUAAAAACACAGCACUGUGCAAACACGAAAGUGGACGUAUACGGUGUGACGCCUGCCCGGUGCCGGAAGGUUAAUUGAUGGGGUCAGCGCAAGCGAAGCUCCUGAUCGAAGCCCCGGUAAACGGCGGCCGUAACUAUAACGGUCCUAAGGUAGCGAAAUUCCUUGUCGGGUAAGUUCCGACCUGCACGAAUGGCGUAAUGAUGGCCAGGCUGUCUCCACCCGAGACUCAGUGAAAUUGAACUCGCUGUGAAGAUGCAGUGUACCCGCGGCAAGACGGAAAGACCCCGUGAACCUUUACUAUAGCUUGACACUGAACAUUGAGCCUUGAUGUGUAGGAUAGGUGGGAGGCUUUGAAGUGUGGACGCCAGUCUGCAUGGAGCCGACCUUGAAAUACCACCCUUUAAUGUUUGAUGUUCUAACGUGGACCCGUUACCCGGGUUGCGGACAGUGUCUGGUGGGUAGUUUGACUGGGGCGGUCUCCUCCUAAAGAGUAACGGAGGAGCACGAAGGUUGGCUAAUCCUGGUCGGACAUCAGGAGGUUAGUGCAAUGGCAUAAGCCAGCUUGACUGCGAGCGUGACGGCGCGAGCAGGUGCGAAAGCAGGUCAUAGUGAUCCGGUGGUUCUGAAUGGAAGGGCCAUCGCUCAACGGAUAAAAGGUACUCCGGGGAUAACAGGCUGAUACCGCCCAAGAGUUCAUAUCGACGGCGGUGUUUGGCACCUCGAUGUCGGCUCAUCACAUCCUGGGGCUGAAGUAGGUCCCAAGGGUAUGGCUGUUCGCCAUUUAAAGUGGUACGCGAGCUGGGUUUAGAACGUCGUGAGACAGUUCGGUCCCUAUCUGCCGUGGGCGCUGGAGAACUGAGGGGGGCUGCUCCUAGUACGAGAGGACCGGAGUGGACGCAUCACUGGUGUUCGGGUUGUCAUGCCAAUGGCACUGCCCGGUAGCUAAAUGCGGAAGAGAUAAGUGCUGAAAGCAUCUAAGCACGAAACUUGCCCCGAG